rnacentral:rRNA from 1 species
CAGCAGCCGCGGUAAUACGUAGGUGGCAAGCGUUGUCCGGAAUUAUUGGGCGUAAAGGGCUCGCAGGCGGUUUCUUAAGUCUGAUGUGAAAGCCCCCGGCUCAACCGGGGAGGGUCAUUGGAAACUGGGAAACUUGAGUGCAGAAGAGGAGAGUGGAAUUCCACGUGUAGCGGUGAAAUGCGUAGAGAUGUGGAGGAACACCAGUGGCGAAGGCGACUCUCUGGUCUGUAACUGACGCUGAGGAGCGAAAGCGUGGGGAGCGAACAGGAUUAGAUACCCCGGUAGUCCCUGUCUCUUAUAU